AUUGAACGCUGGCGGCAUGCCUUACACAUGCAAGUCGAACGGUAACAGGUCUUCGGAUGCUGACGAGUGGCGAACGGGUGAGUAAUACAUCGGAACGUGCCCGAGAGUGGGGGAUAACGAGGCGAAAGCUUUGCUAAUACCGCAUACGAUCUCAGGAUGAAAGCAGGGGACCGCAAGGCCUUGCGCUCACGGAGCGGCCGAUGGCAGAUUAGGUAGUUGGUGGGAUAAAAGCUUACCAAGCCGACGAUCUGUAGCUGGUCUGAGAGGACGACCAGCCACACUGGGGCUAGGACACGGCCCAGACUCCUACGGGAGGCAGCAGUGGGGAAUUUUGGACAAUGGGCGCAAGCCUGAUCCAGCCAUGCCGCGUGCAGGAUGAAGGCCUUCGGGUUGUAAACUGCUUUUGUACGGAACGAAAAGACUCUGGUUAAUACCUGGGGUCCAUGACGGUACCGUAAGAAUAAGCACCGGCUAACUACGUGCCAGCCGCCGCCGUAAGAC
rnacentral:rRNA from 1 species